CCCUUACUGGCAUUCUUCAUUGCAUGCUGUGUUGGUCAAAGACCAUGAGAAAUAAAUAUCACACGGGUAAACUUCUUCAGAAAGGUACACAAUUCUACGAAGCCGGCUGUAUAUCUCGUUGAUUCACCAUUUUGUCUUCUUACUAGCAAUGUAGAAAGCAAGGGACGCAACAUUUCUUUGUCUGAGCAGCAUGAGAAAGAAUAUGGCAACUACAAAAAUGGCAGUUUCCAUCAUUAGGAAUUACUAUCCCUGCUAAUUUACUGUCAAGAGCCAGGUGAGAGGUCUGAUCUGUCAUCAUGAGAAGUAGCCGCUUUGCUUCUGAGCGCCAACCAAUAUGGCUCUAAAAAAAAGAAGACACAGUGAACUCAGUUGUAUGAUGGGAAAAUGCAUGUGAAGAAGAGACACAGAAAUGUACUUCAAGAUUCUACACUGGCUGAGAAACUCUUAUAGGUAAUAUUUUAAUAGGGUUUGAAACCCCAUGGGUUGCAUCUAAAUGUUCCCUUUCUUUGACAGAAGACCCCCUUCAUUGUUCAAGCCUUCAAUAUAUCUGCUAAAGCACUUUGAUAGACACAGGAAGAAAAAAUUGACUUGAGAACCAAAUACAAUGUACAAACCUCCUUUGGAUUUUUGAAGCACCAUUAUCUGCAUGCAACAUUAGACUGUCAUGAAGCAGACAAAUAACAUACAGAGAUUUGGCCAAAUUAUCAAUUAGCUCUUACCUGGCA